rnacentral:rRNA from 1 species
GUCGAGGGGUAUAGUAGCAAUACUAGAGACCGGCGCACGGGUGCGUAACGCGUAUGCAAUCUACCUUUUACAGAGGGAUAGCCCAGAGAAAUUUGGAUUAAUACCUCAUAGCAUAGCAGCUUCGCAUGAAGUCACUAUUAAAGUUCCAACGGUAAAAGAUGAGCAUGCGUCCUAUUAGCUAGAUGGUAAGGUAACGGCUUACCAUGGCUACGAUAGGUAGGGGUCCUGAGAGGGAGAUCCCCCACACUGGUACUGAGACACGGACCAGACUCCUACGGGAGGCAGCAGUGAGGAAUAUUGGACAAUGGGCGCAAGCCUGAUCCAGCCAUGCCGCGUGCAGGAAGACGCAUCUAUGGUGUGUAAACUGCUUUUGUACGGGAAGAAACACUCCUACGUGUAGGAGCUUGACGGUACCGUAAGAAUAAGGAUCGGCUAACUCCGUGCCAGCAGCCGCGGUAAUACGGAGGAUCCAAGCGUUAUCCGGAAUCAUUGGGUUUAAAGGGUCCGUAGGCGGUUUGGUAAGUCAGUGGUGAAAGCCCAUCGCUUAACGAUGGAACGGCCAUUGAUACUGCCAGACUUGAAUUACUAGGAAGUAACUAGAAUAUGUAGUGUAGCGGUGAAAUGCUUAGAUAUUACAUGGAAUACCAAUUGCGAAGGCAGGUUACUACUAGAUGAUUGACGCUGAUGGACGAAAGCGUGGGGAGCGAACAGGAUUAGAUACCCUGGUAGUCCACGCCGUAAACGAUGGAU